UUUUCUCACAUCUUUAUAUGACAUAUGCAGGGUGGAUGUGAGGAAGCUGACAACAAAAAGGAUGCAGGGGUUCCAAAGACUGCUGCCGGGACUGCCUGCGAGACUACCGGGACAAGCUGAAGAAUCAGAUACACGAGUUGGGCGAGAACAUUACCUUGAUCGAGUCAGUGGCGUCCAAGGGCGC